GGGUCAGUAGGUUGGUCGUGCCACCGGUACGUACUGGUCUCACUGAUUCCUCCUUCCUGAAGAACCGUAAUGCCAUUAAUUUGGUGUUGCGGGGAAACAGGACUGUUACUUUGAAAAAACUAGAGUGUUUAAAGCAAGCUAACGCUUGAAUACAUUAGCAUGGAAUAAUGAAAUAGGACGAUCGAUCCUAUUUUGUUGGCUUCUAGGAUUGACGUA
rnacentral:rRNA from 1 species